AUGGUAUAGCAGAUUAAUCCAAACCAUUGGUAAGCUCUAUAAAAAGGCCUAUAUUUUGUUGGAAAAUCAUUUUAUUGUUUUCUUGUGUGGAAGUUCUGUCGAGAUUCUUCCAGAGUUUUCUCAGCACCACCGAAGGCGGAAAGGAGAUUUCUUAACAUUGUCGAAGCCAAAGAAGAGAUCACUGCAGUCAAGAGUUCCUCAUAAGCUUCCUCAGAACUUCUUUUUUAUCUGUUAGGUAGACUCGUUCGUUCCAACUCCUUUUUUCCACAACCCUAGGAUUUUAGGUCCUUGC
rnacentral:lncRNA from 1 species